UGUGUUCCAAGAAGACCAAGUCUGCCAAGCGAUCGCGUCACAGGAAGGCUGUCUGUGAGGAGGGCAGCAGCCUCAGCCUUUGCCACUUCGAUGCAACCAUGACCACAUGGCUCCUCUGCUGUGUGGCUCUUUGUCUCUUAAAUGCAGGCUUCUUUGAUGACACAGUGACCCAGAGGCCAAGACAUCUGAUCAAAUGGAAAGGACAGAAAGCAAACAUGAGCUGUGUCCCUAAAAAGGGACACACUGCUGUUUACUGGUAUCAACAAAAGCAAAAUAAAGAGUUGAAGUUUUUGAUUAGGUUCCAGAAUGAAGAUCCUCUUGACGAAAUGAACAAGUUCGAGGAUCAAUUCUCAGCUCAAUGUCCCAAAGCCUCACCCUGCAGCCUAGAAAUUAAGUCCUCUGAUCGAGAAGACUCAGCCCUGUAUCUCUGUGCAAGCAGUCAGUUCACAGUGCUGAAAUGUUCGUUCCUCUGUGUGCACAAACCCCCAUGGAGCCAACCCAGGAAGCAGCUGAUGAGUUCUGUUGGAAGGAUGUAACGGAAAUGAACUGGA